GAUGAACGCUGGCGGCGUGCCUAAUACAUGCAAGUCGAGCGAACAGACGAGGAGCUUGCUCCUCUGACGUUAGCGGCGGACGGGUGAGUAACACGUGGAUAACCUACCUAUAAUACUGGGAUAACUUCGGGAAACCGGAGCUAAUACCGUAUAAUAUAUUGAACCGCAUGGUUCAAUAGUGAAAGACGGUUUUGCUGUCACUUAUAGAUGGAUCCGCGCCGCAUUAGCUAGUUGGUAAGGUAACGGCCUACCAAGGCAACGAUGCGUAGCCGACCUGAGAGGGUGAUAGGCCACACGAGAACUGAGACAGGGUCCAGACUACUGCGGGAGGCAGCAGUAGGGAAUCUUCCGCAAUGGGCGAAAGCCUGACGGAGCAACGCCGAGUGAGUGAUGAAGGUCUUCGGAUCGUAAAACUCUGUUAUUAGGGAAAAACAAAUGUGUAAGUAACUAUGCACGUAUUGACGGUACCUAAUCAGAAAGCCACGGCUAACUACGUG
rnacentral:rRNA from 1 species